rnacentral:rRNA from 1 species
AGAGUUUGAUCAUGGCUCAGGAUGAACGCUAGCGGCAGGCUUAAUACAUGCAAGUCGAGGGGCAGCGGGGUGUAGCAAUACACUGCCGGCGACCGGCAAACGGGUGCGGAACACGUACGCAAUCUACCCAAAACUGAGGAAUAGCCCUCCGAAAGGAGGAUUAAUACCUCGUAACAUCUUAGAGUGGCAUCACUUUUAGAUUAUAGCUCCGGCGGUUUUGGAUGAGCGUGCGCCUGAUUAGGUAGUUGGUGUGGGUAAUGGCCCACCAAGCCUUCGAUCAGUAACUGGUGUGAGAGCACGACCAGUCACACGGGCACUGAGACACGGGCCCGACUCCUACGGGAGGCAGCAGUAAGGAAUAUUGGUCAAUGGACGCAAGUCUGAACCAGCCAUGCCGCGUGAAGGAUGAAGGUCCUCUGGAUUGUAAACUUCUUUUAUAGGGGAAGAAACCGGAAAAUUCUUUUUCCGUUGACGGUACCCUGGGAAUAAGCACCGGCUAACUCCGUGCCAGCAGCCGCGGUAAUACGGAGGGUGCAAGCGUUAUCCGGAUUCACUGGGUUUAAAGGGUGCGUAGGUGGGUCUGUAAGUCAGUGGUGAAAUCUCCAAGCUUAACUUGGAAACUGCCGUUGAUACUAUAGGUCUUGAAUGUUGUGGAGGUGAGCGGAAUAUGUCAUGUAGCGGUGAAAUGCUUAGAUAUGACAUAGAACACCAAUUGCGAAGGCAGCUCACUACACAAAUAUUGACACUGAGGCACGAAAGCGUGGGGAUCAAACAGGAUUAGAUACCCUCGUAGUCC